GUACCUUAACAUGUCAGCACACAAGCGCAAUUUUAGUGAUGAUAUUACCAAUUUACAUGGGCUAGCCUUGCACGGCAAUGAUGCUUCUGUUAACCAUCUUUCGGGACUGAUAUUCAUUACCCCAUUUCUGGAGUCUUUUGAACCCUUCUAACUUAGGUAUGAGUGGCACUACUGGAACCCUGCUAUUUAGUGAACAAAUCAACUGGAAGAGACAA
rnacentral:misc_RNA from 1 species